rnacentral:rRNA from 1 species
CGCUAAUGUGCCCCGGACUCUGGGAUAGCCGGUUGAAAGAUCGGGUAAUACCAGAUGAUAUACCUUUAUCGCAUGAUAGAGGUCUCAAAGGUCCGCCGGUCUGGGAGCAGGCGAUUUCGUAUCAGCUAGUUGGUGAGGUAACGGCUCACCAAGGCGAUGACGCGUAGCCGGACUGAGAGGUUGGCCGGCCACAUUGGGACUGAGACACUGCCCAG